GAUGAACGCUGGCGGCGUGCCUAAUACAUGCAAGUCGAGCGAACGGACGAGGAGCUUGCUCCUCUGACGUUAGCGGCGGACGGGUGAGUAACACGUGGAUAACCUACCUAUAAGACUGGGAUAACUUCGGGAAACCGUAGCUAAUACCGGAUAAUAUUUUGAACCGCAUGGUUCAAUAGUGAAAGACGGUUUUGCUGUCACUUAUAGAUGGAUCCGCGCUGCAUUAGCUAGUUGGUAAGGUAACGGCUUACCAAGGCAACGAUGCAUAGCCGACCUGAGAGGGUGAUCGGCCACACUGGAACUGAGACACGGUCCAGACUCCUACGGGAGGCAGCAGUAGGGAAUCUUCCGCAAUGGGCGAAAGCCUGACGGAGCAACGCCGCGUGAGUGAUGAAGGUCUUCGGAUCGUAAAACUCUGUUAUUAGGGAAGAACAUAUGUGUAAGUAACUGUGCACGUCUUGACGGUACCUAAUCAGAAAGCCACGGCUAACUACGUG
rnacentral:rRNA from 1 species